ensembl:snoRNA SNORD34 Small nucleolar RNA SNORD34
CGGCGUCCGUGAUGUUCCACAGUUACCUACAUUGUUCGAUCCUCGUGAGAACAGCGCUGGCUGAGACGCUG